UGGACAGUAAGGAGUUGGUUGGCUAUGCAGAAGAAAGAGAAAAGGAGUCAGUGCUGCGAGGAGCUGCCUGUGAGAGCUCACAGAGAGAAGAGCCUGAGUCUGCAAAAACCAUUCAGAAGACCUGCAAGAUUGGUGACUUCAUUGCAAACUCUCUCUAGAGGAUAUUUUCUCUCUCCAUGGUUCUCCACACCUCCGAUUUUACCGUGAACGUCACUGAACGUCUCAAGGCUCUCCCCUAAAGUUAAUACUUAACGACAAAAUUGAAGGGUUCAAAACUGAUGCUUCAAAACCUCAGUUUCAUUUCAUUAAUGCUCCCUGCACCCCUUUUACUUCAAUUAUGAAUUUUGUCAUAUAUCUUAAGUUUAUUAAUUAUCAUAUUUUGGGGUCUUGGCAGGCAGUUUAAAAAUAAUCCCAUAGCCUUUGGAGCUUUGUUUUCAGAGGAUUCAUUCAGUGUGCUCCAAGGCUGUUGUGUAACUACCGUGCUUGUUUGUCUGACAACAAAAACAAGUUUAAAUCAGAUAUUUUUCUUCAUUCUUUUUGUUUAAAUGCAUUUUCACUGUCACUCUGCUCUGAAGCCAGGCAGACAAAGAUAAAAACAUUGCCAAUUGCAAAAUCCAGAUGUCAUGGAAACUUAAGUAGCCAUUUAAGUUGCUUUGUGAGAAACACACAUACAUUCAAAUCAACAUACUGAAAAUUAUUAUUCUCUUGUUCACCUAACUAAUGUGUUGAAGACAUUUAGAAGAAGAAAAAAAUUAUGCUUUCUACACACAUAGGCACAAUGUGAAAAAUUGGAGGAAUAGAAACAUACCAAAAAUAACAGAAAAUUAAUUUUAUUCUUUUGAGAAUAAACAAUUACAGAAAAUUCCAGGCUGCUCCUAAAAAACCACAGCUGACAUUCCUAUAGCAGUGUUAUGUAGUAGAUUACAUUUCCUAUUACCAGUCUGGCUAUAUUAUGGCAUUAUUAAUUUCUAUCUAUAGAUUGCAGAUAAUACAUUAUAAGAAGGAAAUCUAACAAAGGAGGUCAUGAUAUUUAGGAUUAUGUAGAGGAGGAAAGCACAGGUAAAGGUAGGAGGUGAAAGCAAAACCAAAUUGCAAAGCUGCUUUUUUUUGUUGCUGGGGUUUUCUUUUUGUUUGGUUUGGAGUUUUUUGGGCUUUUUUUUGUUUAAAAAUGGAACUCAGACAUUUUGUCCAAGUUCAGUACACAGAGAUUCCCCAUGAGAACUGUUGUUACUCCUCUGCCAGAAAUAUCAGAUAUGUCUCUGCAGCUCUUCUUCCUCCUCCCCGUCAGGCCCUGUGAUCUCUGAUUCAUCCUCCAGGGACAAAGAGCAGAGCCAGUCUUGGUAACUAGAC
rnacentral:lncRNA from 1 species